rnacentral:rRNA from 1 species
UACGUAGGGGUGCAAGCGUUAAUCGGAAUUACUGGGCGUAAAGCGUGCGCAGGCGGUUUUGUAAGUCUGUCGUGAAAGCCCCGGGCUCAACCUGGGAAUUGCGAUGGAGACUGCAAGGCUUGAAUCUGGCAGAGGGGGGUAGAAUUCCACGUGUAGCAGUGAAAUGCGUAGAGAUGUGGAGGAACACCGAUGGCGAAGGCAGCCCCCUGGGUCAAGAUUGACGCUCAUGCACGAAAGCCGUGGGGAGCAAACGGG